AGUUGUAUCCUGGCUCAGAACGAACGCUGGCGGCAGGCCUAAUACAUGCAAGUCGAGCGCGCCCUUCGGGGUGAGCGGCGGACGGGUGAGUAACGCGUGGGAAUAUGCCCUUCUCUAAGGAAUAGCCUCUGGAAACGGAGAGUAAUACCUUAUACGCCCUUCGGGGGAAAGAUUUAUCGGAGAAGGAUUAGCCCGCGUUAGAUUAGGUAGUUGGUGGGGUAAUGGCCUACCAAGCCUACGAUCUAUAGCUGGUUUGAGAGGAUGAUCAGCCACACUGGGACUGAGACACGGCCCAGACUCCUACGGGAGGCAGCAGUAGGGAAUCUUAGACAAUGGGGGCAACCCUGAUCUAGCCAUGCCGCGUGUGUGAUGAAGGCCCUAGGGUCGUAAAGCACUUUCGCCAGAGAUGAUAAUGACAGUAUCUGGUAAAGAAACCCCGGCUAACUCCGUGCCAGCAGCCGCGGUAAUACGGAGGGGGUUAGCGUUGUUCGGAAUUACUGGGCGUAAAGCGCACGUAGGCGGAUUAGUAAGUUAGAGGUGAAAUCCCAGGGCUCAACCCUGGAACUGCCUUUAAUACUGCUAGUCUUGAGUUCGAGAGAGGUAAGUGGAAUUCCGAGUGUAGAGGUGAAAUUCGUAGAUAUUCGGAGGAACACCAGUGGCGAAGGCGGCUUACUGGCUCGAUACUGACGCUNAGGUGCGAAAGUGUGGGGAGCAAACAGGAUUAGAUACCCUGGUAGUCCACACCGUAAACGAUGAAUGCCAGACGUCAGCAAGUAUACUUGUUGGUGUCACACCU
rnacentral:rRNA from 1 species